ensembl:lncRNA
GGAACUUCCGCAAGGAAGAGCCGCGAUGACGUUAUUCCGGUCACGCCCCUUCUUAAAGAGACAGGCCCCUCCAACUGCAGGCGCUGCCCUGGCUCUGGGAGGGGAGCGGGGCCUAAUGUGUUACUGAUCCACUCCAAGAACUUGGUGAUAUUGGAUGUCAUCUCCCACUCCUAACUGUCCUGAUCAUAAGAUUAAAACGAUCUGCUCUCAACUCUAGCUUGGCAAUGGAUGCAAAGGAAGCUAUGAAACAGGAUGCUGAGCAGCCCCCAGACACUGAGUCGCUGGUUGAAGGUGUGAGAACCCUGUUACGAUCUCUUGAGGUCCGGCAGCAGCACCUCCUGGCAAACAUUGCCAGCUGCGACGAGCUGAUGGCAGAAAUCACCAGUCUUCAGGCCGCUCUCUGUGCACCUGCCAGAACAGAGGGCAGCUCCUUGCCUGUGCAAGAGGAGAACAAGCAUUCCUGAAAUGCUUAAUGAGCAGCUCACCUGAGGGCUAUUGAUGGAGGAAGCCACUACAACUCUCCUUGGCUGUUCCCUACAAAAUAUACUUACCCUCUAUUCCCUGAACUCUUUACAUGUGUUUGGUGUGUGUAAGUGCAUGUUGCUGUGACCUGCACUCUGUCUCAUUGUGUAGAAAUAAAUGACACAACUGUUUGCUCUAGCUCUGAAAA